AACGCACCUUGCGCUCCUUGGUAUUCCUCGGAGCAUGCCUGUUUGAGUAUCAUGAAAUCUUCAAAGCAAAUCCUUUUGUUAACUCAAUUGGGUUCUGCUUUGGUAUUGGAGGUCUUUGCAGCUUCACACCUGCUCCUCUUUGUUCAUUAGCUGGAUCUCAGUGUUAUGCUUGGUUCCACUCGGCGUGAUAAGUUAUCUAUCGCUGAGGACACCGUAAAAAGUGGCCAAGGUAAAUGCAGAUGAACCGCUUCUAAUAGUCCAUUGACUUGGACAAUAAUUUUUAUGAUCUGAUCUCAAAUCAGGUAGGACUACCCGCUGAACUUAA
rnacentral:misc_RNA from 1 species